rnacentral:tRNA from 1 species
GGAGAGGUGGCUCAGCGGUUAAGAGUAUGGACUGCUCUUCUAGAGGUCCUGAGUUCAAAUCCCAGCAACCACA